rnacentral:rRNA from 1 species
ACGGGGCGCAGCAGGCGCGAAACCUUUACACUGCACGACAGUGCGAUAAGGGGACUCCGAGUGCGAGGGCAUAUAGUCCUCGCUUUUGUGUACCGUAAGGUGGUACACGAAUAAGGGCUGGGCAAGACCGGUGCCAGCCGCCGCGGUAACACCGGCAGCCCAAGUGAUGACCGAUAUUAUUGGGCCUAAAGCGUCCGUAGCCGGCCGGACAAGUCCAUCGGGAAAUCUGCUCGCUUAACGAGCAGGCGUCCGGUGGAAACUGUUCGGCUUGGGACCGGAAGACCCGAGGGGUACGUCUGGGGUAGGAGUGAAAUCCCGUAAUCCUGGACGGACCACCGGUGGCGAAAGCGCCUCGGGAAGACGGAUCCGACGGUGAGGGACGAAAGCUAGGGUCACGAACCGGAUUAGAUACCCGGGUAGUCCUAGCUGUAAACAAUGCUCGUUAGGUGCGGCACUGACUACGAGUCAGUGCUGUGCCACAGUGAAGACGCUAAACGAGCCGCCUGGAAGUAC